ACAGGGUCCUGCCUUCUGGGGGCUAACGGCCUGGCGAAGGAGGAAAGGAGCCGUGGUAGAAUUUAUUUUGAAAGCUGCCUCUACUUCCUCUGUGGGAUGUGAAUGGAGCGUGCUCACAGCUGAAGGUGGGAAACCGGGAUGACCUGGCAGCGUCCUGUAGCAGAAUGGCACACUGAAGAAAUCGGCCAGGGAGGGACCCCGGACUCUUGGCACCUGUGAGGACAGUGCCAGGCUGUGGGAACCGUGACAACUGCCCUCCAUGACAAAACGUCUCUGUCCUGUCCUGUCUCUCUGUCUGCGAAGGGGAAGAAAAUGCAACUGCAAAGGCUCUGAAUGCACAAGCUGGUUACGUCUCACCUGGGAGGGCUGAGGUGACUCCGGGCAGGGGGUGGGGGGGUCACCACAACUCCGACUUCUCCUGGAGCACGCCUGGCCUCGUGUACCACCUCCGCCUACAGAGCUCCUGACACCAGGGAGAUACAGGGUGUCAUUUGGCAGAGAUG